AUUGAACGCUGGCGGCAUGCCUAACACAUGCAAGUCGAACGGGGCAGCAAUGCCUAGUGGCGGACGGGUGAGGAAUACGUAGGAAUCUGCCCUUAAGUGGGGGAUAACCAGGGGAAACCCUGACUAAUACCGCAUGAUCUCUUCGGAGCAAAGAGGGGGACCGCAAGGCCUCUCGCUUCUGGAUGAGCCUACGUCUGAUUAGCUAGUUGGUAGGGUAAAGGCCUACCAAGGCGACGAUCAGUAACUGGUCUGAGAGGAUGAUCAGUCACACCGGAACUGAGACACGGUCCGGACUCCUACGGGAGGCAGCAGUGGGGAAUAUUGGACAAUGGGCGCAAGCCUGAUCCAGCAAUGCCGCGUGUGUGAAGAAGGCCUUCGGGUUGUAAAGCACUUUAGCCUGGAAAGAAAAAACUUUGGUUAACACCCAAAGUCUUGACGGUACCAGGAGAAUAAGCACCGGCUAACUCUGUGCCAGCAGCCGCGGUAAAAC
rnacentral:rRNA from 1 species